GACAGAGGGUGCAAACGUUGCUCGGAAUCACCGGGCGUAAAGGGCGUGUAGGCGGGUAGAUAAGUCGGGCGUGAAAUCCCUAGGCUCAACCUAGGAACUGCACUCGAAACUGUUUAUCUUGAGUGCCGGAGAGGAAAGCGGAAUUCCUGGUGUAGAGGUGAAAUUCGUAGAUAUCAGGAGGAACACCAGUGGCGAAGGCGGCUUUCUGGACGGUAACUGACGCUGAGACGCGAAAGCGUGGGGAGCAAACAGG
rnacentral:rRNA from 1 species